GACGAACGCUGGCGGCGUGCUUAACACAUGCAAGUCGAACGCUGAAGCUCAGCUUUUGUUGGGUGGAUGAGUGGCGAACGGGUGAGUAACACGUGAGUAACCUGCCCCCUUCUUUGGGAUAACGCCCGGAAACGGGUGCUAAUACUGGAUAUUCACUGGUCUUCGCAUGGGGGUUGGUGGAAAGGGUUUUUCUGGUGGGGGAUGGGCUCGCGGCCUAUCAGCUUGUUGGUGGGGUGAUGGCCUACCAAGGCUUUGACGGGUAGCCGGCCUGAGAGGGUGACCGGUCACAUUGGGACUGAGAUACGGCCCAGACUCCUACGGGAGGCGGCAGUGGGGAAUAUUGCACAAUGGGCGCAAGCCUGAUGCAGCGACGCCGCGUGAGGGAUGGAGGCCGUCGGGUUGUGAACCUCUUUCGCUCAUGGUCAAGCCGCAACAAUGGUUGUGGUGAGGGUAGUGGGUAAAGAAGCGCCGGCUAACUACGUG
rnacentral:rRNA from 1 species